AUUCAAAGAAAGCAGACACAAUAAAUGCACAGUUGGAGAUUGCAAGAGAAAACAGAAAGGCAGAGGAAGUAAAACUUAAGGUUGCUAAAGAAAAUAGGAAGACAGUUGAAGCACAGAGAAGAAUUGCUGAACAUUUCCAAAUGGCGAGAGAAGCAGAAGCUAAGACUGCAGAGGAAAACAGAAAUGCAGCAGAAUUAAGAGUUGUUGAAGCCUUUUUUGCACUAUCAUUGGCCCAGUUCAAUCGUGGUAGCGCCAAUGCACGUGUACAUGAAGGAAACAGGAUGACGUCACUGGGAAGGAUCGAUUAUCAGCGAGGAGGCAAUGACUCUUUCGCUAUUGCUAGUCGUUAAGCAGAAAGAUGAUCCUGUUGAAGUUGCCACAAUGACGACGAUCCAUUUUACGAUACGGUGAAGGGAUGAUUUACUUUAUUGUCAUUUUGUUGUGAUUUAUAACAUUUAUUUUUGGGAAAUUCUUUUAAAAUAGACGUUUUGUGUGAGUACGUUUUGUCAUAAAAUGAUUUGGUUGUGCUUAUUUGUGACAAUGUAUACAUUGCUUUCUCCGGUCUGUUUCAUAACACAACAUCAAAAAUACUUAAUGCAGAAAAUAAAUUACUGCAGAAAGGACAAAGUUUAUGAACUUAUAUUUCAGUGUCAAUGUCACAACAGAAGUCUUGCAUUUUAUGUUCUUUCAAUGUCUUCUUUACAUGUUGAAGAAUGUUAAACUGUAUAUUUUACCCCAUACUUUGCUGGCUGAAAGGCAGGAAAACAAAUCAAGGUCUAGUGGAAAUAUUCACGUAAUCAGCAUGAUGUUUCAGAACGCAUAUACUGUGACAAUGAAGACUAUGGUAUUUAUAUAAUAAAGUAUUUUUGUUUUAUAAUACAAAUCGCAGCUUGAUCUGGUCUGUGCACAGUUUCUUUAGAUUGGUUCGAAUAGAAUAUAUUGCUCUUUUUUUCGAGUUUAUAUUUUAACUUAUUUUCAGAUUGAAUAAAAUUUUCUUUUGUCUGGUUUUAUAAUGAAAUAUAUAUUUCAAACCAUUUCUCAGUUAAACGAUAUUUGAAGCAGUUUUAUGUAUAUUUUUAGCCAUAUUUCAACAAUGUAAGUUAACAAGUAGACAAUCCCGCAUAAAGAAAUAGUAAACAUACUCAAAGGACAGUACCACAUGUGAUGAUUUAAAAUGCGUGGCUUAACACACCCCUUGACUAAAAGCUUUUAUAAAGACUGGAAAUAUCUGUUAUUAAGAUGCUUGUUUCAAGAAAAUUAUUAAGGAACGUGAAUUUUGCAUGCAGGAAAAUGCACUGGCUUGGUUAAGAAUAUCUUUUAAAUUCAAGAUAAAGCAGUAUUAACCAUCAAAAUAUGGAAAACACAUACUAAUAUUCGUACAUAUAUGUUCGGGUAUAAGUUAUGUCGAUCUGUGAACUUUAAUUAGUACUAAUGUACUAUAUGAUCGCAAUAUUAGUAUUAUUUGAGUUUUAAAACACUUUAGUUAAUAAAAGAAUCUUUAUCAUUUCAGCCAAUCUAGCAUACUCUGUAUUUUGACGACCAUUUUAAUUUUAUGAAUACAUUUUCUUUUAACACCAUAGUUCAUACUGCUCCCUGAGGAAAAAUAUCGGAUGACGAUCAAAUGUGCUCUAUAUUGAACACAUGUUUAUGUAACGACAUAAAGCUAAGCAUAUGCUAAUGCCAUGAAACUGACAUACAAUCAUUAUUCCCAUGACUGGGCAGCAAGAAAACAGGGGUUGCACUGUUUACGCCGCCCAGAUUACGCAGAAGGGUUGUGUGAGAAAUAACCUAGAGAUAUAAAAUUAGACUGAAUUUGAGAGUCAUGGAAACCUAUCUAUGAGUAACGAAACAGCUAUUCCUAUAUCAUAAGAUAUAGUUGACACAUCAAAAUUGAACAAUUAUAUUAUUAAGUAUUUAAAAGUCAUAGAAGCACAUCUAUGGAUAAGAAAGCAAGUAUGUUUAUAUUAUACAUGCAAUAUGUACAUGAUACAGCUCAAAUGAACAAUGAUAAACUUAGUUAAAAGAUAAAAACAUGCCAAUGGUUACGGUAGUAAGUACCAGUAUUCCUAUACAUGUAGUAUGAAAUUGACACAUAACUAAACAAUGAUAAAUUAUGGAUGAUAAAGCAAGGAUUUUAUGCUAUACAUGUAAUAUGUAGUUGAAAAGUCAAAAUGAACAACGAUAAAAGUUUUUAAAAGGAAAGAAAGAAAUUAUGGAUACAGAAGUAUCCUAUGAAAUACAUGCUGUAUGUACUUGACACCUUAACAAUGAACAAACAUACAAGUAUUUAAGAGUCAAAGAAACAUAUCUAAGUGUAAUUAAGCAAGUAUGUCCCUGCUUAUAAAUGCAGUUGACAUAACGAAACAGGAACGAGUAAAAAAGUAAUUAAUAUCAAAAGAAACAAAAUUAUGUACAAGAAAGCAAGUGUUCCUAUAUGAUGAUAUGUUAAGGCAACUUGGCAAAACAAAGUAUGACUAGAAAAACAAUGAGCUGAAGUUGACCAGGCUUGGCUCGGUAAUCUUGAUCCAGUCAUUAUAUAUAAACUAUGGUAGUGGGAUAAGAAUCAGAAAAAAAAACAAUCUGACCUAAAUAUUUAAGAAUUAUAUACAAUAUCAUUGACAUUAAAUUUAAACUAUGUUUAAAAAAACUGAAUUGACAAACCAUAGGCAACCUGUACCAGCUGUAACGGAUGGCCGCUUCAGUUGAUACCUGUGGAUGUGUAUGACUGUGGCUGACUGCCUCAGUCAGUUCAACCCAGUGUACUUACAGUUGUAAGCUUAUCAAACAACCAGCUCCCCCGUGAAUGUUUAAUUGUUAUAUUAUGAAAACCCAUUUAGACUCACUUAUCUCAGUUGCUCUAAGGUAAGCUAUAUCUUAAAGGUAUGGACAAAGAUGCCUGCCUCAGUCAGACCCUCCCGCCAGUGUAAAACAGAUAAAAAUAAGUAAAAUAGAAUGACCAAAAUCAUACUAUGGGCAGAAUUGUAUUCAUGUGACUAACAGACCUUUCUAACGGAAACGUAAUUAGGAAACGGAAUACUGAAUGCGUAAAAUUUUAGGCUAAUUUGUGGUCUAGGGGAGACAAUUUCAUCCAAUAGUAAUGCAAUAGUAUCUCCCUUAGACCAUUAUUUGCAAAUAACUUUUACGGAUUCAGUAAUCCGUUUCCGAUUUACGUUUACGUUAGAAAUGUCUAAUUAGGGCUGCAGAUAUACUUAAGGUUUAGGAGUAUAUCACCAAAACACAGAAAUAUUUUAUGAACGAACAACACCGUUACAUAAAAUUAUUCGCGUUUCGAAAUUACUUUUCUUGGUAGUUUAUCCCAGUACUAGUUUGGUCUGAAGUUUAUGCUAGUAUAUUUGGGCGCUCUUUGUCACGUGAAUUUCGUGAAAUAUUUCGGCGUAUAUAAGUGUGAACUGAUAUUGUUCUCACCACUCGAGGUUUAUGAUUGGCAGCAAACAGUCUGUAAUUCAGUAUGAACGAUUCAGAAAAUACAAACAAGGAUUCGUUUUGGGACCUGAAUGACUUCUUCGAUGAACAAUUCUAUGAAUAGAAACAUGAGAAGUGCGAAUUUAGAGAAGAUUCACAGAGUGAGCUGCAGUAUACGACAGGAAAGAGGAAGGUUGCUGGCGAUUUCGAUGACGACAGAAAGAUCCAAAGAGCUGAAGAAAGAGUUAGGGUAGGCUCGAGAAGUUUUGAAAGAAUCAGACACAGUCGUCUGUCAGUAGUUUUGGACCUGUGGACAUUGCUGUAAGUCAUUUGAAUUUAUUUUCAUAAUGUUGAAAUCGCUCCAUAGAUGACCACAAUGUAUGCUUUACCAUCGAUGUUAUAUAAACACAAGUCCGUUAAUCUGCACGUUAAAUUCAUGAGAACAUUUAUUACACAGGUUUAUAGUUUAGAGCAGAGAUCAAGCAAUUUGUUAUUAAUCGUAAACAAAUAAGCCUAUGUUACGGCGGAUUUAUCACAUACUCCUGAUAUUGGACUAAAAUAAGUAUUUAGUCUUUUAAUAUAGGGUUUGUUGUGUUCAUAUACGUUUAAAAUGCUAACUGGAAUGUUCUCUUAGUCUUUUCGAAGCUUUCGGUGCACAGGUGCAGCCAGAGCUCCAAUGGCGGGAUUACAAACCGGAACUAGAUAUAUCGUCUGCUAUGUCUGUGGUAUCUUGGAACGAUUUGCUCGACAGGCUAGAAUCCACAGUUGCAAAGCCACUGACGAAAAUCAACAUCAUUGAGAAGAUGAUAAGUAUUGCUUUUAUUCAUAUUAUGCAGACGUUAAAUGCCAAGCGAAUUUCUGCAAAUUUAACUUUGUGUUUCCGUAGCAGAAAACUCAGUGAAAGGCAGACUGAAAAUAGUAUUUCACAUUUUGGAAUUAAUGCCGAUAAUACCCUUUCUGUAAUUCACUAUGGUUAUGUUACUCUUUUUAUCAAAAAAGCCGCCGUCAUUUGUUUUUAAAGAAUAACAGGUCUGAUCUAGAAAAUUUAGUGAUUUUAUUUUUCUGCUGUUUAAGAUUUUGUCAAAAAGGACUUCAAAUGCGAGUCCUUUGUCGGUGGAGAUUCAUCUUAAAAGAAAAGUUUGAUUCUAGAUUUUAGUGUAUUUUAAACAGAGUAGUUUAAUUUUAUAAUGUUAGUGAAUUGUAUGGACCGUUUUUCUAGUGAGUGCAAUAAAAAGUUGCCUCUAUACAAUUAAUGAUUUAGGACCUCAGACACGGAGGCUUUCGACGCUUGUUCCGUUUCUUGGAAAAUUGGAAACGAUUGGUUAGUUCCGCCGGUAUUUCUUAUACUCAAGUGUUUAAAUUUCUUCUUGUUUUGUAAAGCUAGAGGUACAUUGGUUGCUCCUUACCGGCCAUCUAACCCCAACCCCACCCUGCGUUUUGCGCACGUUUUGUUUUCAAAAGGUUUUAAUCUUUGAUUAACCAGAAACAUAUAUAUGCAUGGGUAUUACAAGAAUUCUAUAUUUGGUACAGUAAAGUUUAAAACAUUGUGGCAAGGAUUUUUGACAGUUUGACAGUUAAAGUCUAGUUUGAGAUAUCCCCCUUGUUAAGUACCGUGGGAAUUUUAGAUGAUUUCAUUUUAGCAGAUGUAAUAUCAAUUAAAAUAUAUGUAUCAUCCUUGUGUAAACAAUGGUUGAAAUACUAUUGGUGUGUAUAUAGAGACGUUAUUGAACAUUUAUAUUAAAAAGGUCUGUUACAAAUUAUAAAUCUGAUUUAAAGAGACAGUUGAUCUAUGUGUUUUUCUUGCAUUACAUGCAAUAUUUACCCGCUGUUGAUAAUAGAUUAAUCCAUUUGUACAGGUGUAUCACUAGUGGUAUGCAGUUUUUACAGUUACAUAAACAUCGUUAUAAAGAGUGACAAUUUAGUUUCACUUGUCUGCGUCUGUGACAGUGUAUAUCAUAUUAAAAUAAUGCCAUUUGUUUGCAGAUUUGUUUAAUACACACAGAAGAUGAGAAACUGUAAAAAGAUGAGCAGAUAUGAUUUCACCGUAACUGUUUGCUUGUUGGAGGCAAAGAAACGUUUACAUCUCUUGAAUUUAAGAAGUUCCGUGACUGGUGUGAGAAAGUGACGUUACCUGGUUCGCCAUUCACUGUGGCAUUGUACUUGGUGUCUAUAAGUGAUAGCUGUUGCAUUGCUGGUAGCGGAAUGCUGCAAUGUAUGCAUUACAAGCAGUUGAAUGCUGUGUUAUGUGCUCUUCUUACAGUGGUAUGCUACGUUAGGUUAUUUUCAAGAAGCGGAAUGCUGCAUUAGGUUAUCUGCAAGCCGUGGAAGGCUGCGUUAUGUGCUCUUCUUACAGUGAAAUGCUGUGUUAUGUGCUCUUCUUACAGUGGUAUGCUGCCUAAGGUUAUUUUCAGGUGCGGAAUGCUGUUUGCAGCGGAAUGCCCGUUAGGUUAUGUGCAAGAAUGCUGCGUUUCGUGUUUUUCUUGCAGUGGAAUACUGUGUUAGGUUAUCUUAAGGCAGCGGAUUGCUGCGUUAUGUGUUUUUCUUGCAGUGGAAUGCUGCGUUAUGUGCUGUUCUUGCAGUGGAAUGCUGCGUUAUGUUAUCUGCAAGCAGCGGAUUACUACGUUAUGUGCUGUUUUUGCAGUGGAAUGCUGUAUUUGUUUAUCUGCAAGCAGCGGUAUACUGUGUUAUGUGUUCUUCUUGCAGUGGAAUACUCCGUUAGGCUAUUUUCAAGCAGUGGAAUGCUGCGUUAUGUGGUCUUCUUGCAGUGGAAUGUUGCGUUAGGUUAUUUUUAAGCACUGGACUGUUGCGUUAUGUGUUCUUCUUGCAGUCGAAUGCUGCGUUAUGUUAUUUUCAAGCAGUGGAAUGCUAUGUUAUGUUAUUUUCAAGCAGCGGAAUGCUGCGUUAUGUGUUCUUCUUGCAGUGGAAUACUCUGUUAGGUUAUUUUCAAGCAGUGGAAUGCUGCGUUAUGCGUUCUUUUUGCAGGAACGCUGUAUUAGGUUAUUUUAAGAAGUGGAAUGCUGAUUUAUGUGCUCCUUUUGCAGUGGAAUAUUGCGUUAGGUUAUUUUCAAGUAGUGGAACGUGCGCUAUGUGUUCUUCUUGCAGUGGAAUGCUGUGUUAUGUUAUUUUCAAGUAGCGGAAUGCUGCGUUAUGUGUUCUUUUUGCAGUGGAAUGCUGUGUUAGGUUAUUUUCAAGCAGUGGAAUGCUGCGUUAGGUGUUCUUCUUGCAUUGGAAUGCUGUGUUAUGUUAUUUUCAAGCAGCGGAAUGCUGCGUUAUGUUAUUUUCAAGCAGAGGAAUGCUGCGUAAUGUGUUCUUCUUGCAGCGGAAUGCUGCGUUAGAUUAUUUGCAAGCAGUCGAAUGCUGCUUUAUUUGCUCUUCCUGCAGUGGAAUGCUGCGUUAUGUGCUCUUCUUGCGGUGGAGUUUUAAGAAGUGGUAUGCUGAUUUUUGUGCUCUUCCUGCAGUGGAAUGCUGCGUUAUGUUAUCUGCAAGCAGCGGAAUGCUGUGAUAUGUUAUCUUCAAGCAGUGGAAUGCUGCGUUAUGUGUUAUUAAUGCUGCGUUAGGUUAUUUUCAUGCAGCGGAAUGCUGCGUUAUAUGUUUUCUUGCAAAGGAAGGCUGCGUUAGGUUAUCUGCAAGCAGUGGAAUGCUGCGUUAUGUUUUUUGUAAGCAGCGGAAUGCUGCGUAAUGUUGCUUUAUGUGCUCUGCUAGCAGCGGAAUGCUGCAUUAAGUAAUCUGCAAGUAGCGGAAUGCUGCGUUAUGUGCUCUGCAAGCAGCGGAAUGCUGCAUUACGUAAUCUGCAAGCAGCGGAAUGCUGCGUUAUGUGCUCUGCAAGCAGCGGAAUGCUGCGUUAUGUGCUCUGCAAGCAGCGGAAUGCUGCAUUAAGUAAUCUGCAAGCAGCGGAAUGCUGCGUUAUGUGCUCUGCAAGCAGCGGAAUGCUGCAUGAUGUUUUCUGAAGGCAAUGUAUUCCUGCUUAUGGGUUUGAGACGAUUGGGCUUUGGUGAUCUGAUCGAUGGUCUUUCAUAGAAGUGGGAUAUUAAUGUACAAGGUAACCACGGUAAUUAAGUAUCGUUAGUAAGUAUUUCUUUGUUUUCCAUUUACUGCGUCAAUAAUUUUGAUACAGAAGACUGUUAGCAUUUUCUCUCUUUGUUGUCUCGAUAUGCUGCCAAUUAUAUACCUUAUUCAUACUUUUAUUGUUUCUUUUUUGUCUUGUUGAAGGUAAUUGAGAUUAGAGAAUAAUUGAUUUACUCACAGCUUUAGCGUGAGUAAAUAAAAUUAUUCGCGUUUCGAAAUUACUUUUCUUGGUAGUUUAUCCCAGUACUAGUUUGGUCUGAAGUUUAUGCUAGUAUAUUUGGGCGCUCUUUGUCACGUGAAUUUCGUGAAAUAUUUCGGCGUAUAUAAGUGUGAACUGAUAUUGUUCUCACCACUCGAGGUUUAUGAUUGGCAGCAAAC